CCUACGGGCGGCAGCAGUGAGGAAUAUUGGUCAAUGGCCGCGAGGCUGAACCAGCCAAGUCGCGUGAGGGAAGAAUGUCCUAUGGAUUGUAAACCUCUUUUGUCAGGGAGCAAAGUCACCCACGUGUGGGUUUUGGAGAGUACCUGACGAAAAAGCAUCGGCUAACUCCGUGCCAGCAGCCGCGGUAAUACGGAGGAUGCGAGCGUUAUCCGGUUUUAUUGGGUUUAAAGGGUGCGUAGGCGGGUUAUCAAGUCAGCGGUAAAAUUGUGGGGCUCAACUCCAUCCAGCCGUUGAAACUGAUGAUCUUGAGUGGGCGAGAAGUAUGCGGAAUGCGUGGUGUAGCGGUGAAAUGCAUAGAUAUCACGCAGAACUCCGAUUGCGAAGGCAGCAUACCGGCGCCCGACUGACGCUGAAGCACGAAAGCGUGGGUAUCGAACAGGAUUAGAUACCCCUGUAGUC
rnacentral:rRNA from 1 species